GACGAACGCUGGCGGCGUGCUUAACACAUGCAAGUCGUACGCUGAUGCUCAGCUUGCUGGGUGGAUGAGUGGCGAACGGGUGAGUAACACGUGAGUAAUCUGCCCUUUUCUUUGGGAUAACGUGCGGAAACGUGCGCUAAUACUGAAUAUUCGCAUCUUUGCCGCAUGGUGGGGUGGGGAAAGGAUCUUUAUGGUCUGGGGAGGGGGAUGGGCUCGCGGCCUAUCAGUUUUGUUGGUGGGGUGAUGGCCUACCAAGGCGU
rnacentral:rRNA from 1 species